rnacentral:rRNA from 1 species
ACACGACUACAUUAGAUACCCGUGUAGUCCUAGCCGUAAACGAUACUCGCUAGGUGUCGGCCACGGUGCGACCGUUGUCGGUGCCGUAGGGAAGCCGUGAAGCGAGCCACCUGGGAAGUGCGGCCGCAAGGCUGAAACUUAAAGGAAUUGGCGGGGGAGCACAACAACGGGUGGAGCUUGCGGUUUAAUUGGAUUCAACGCCGGAAAUCUUACCGGGACCGACAGCAACAUGAAGGCCAAGCUGAAGACUUUGCCGGAUUAGCUG